rnacentral:rRNA from 1 species
GGCUAACUACGUGCCAGCAGCCGCGGUGAUACGUAGGUGGCAAGCGUUAUCCGGAAUUAUUGGGCGUAAAGCGCGCGUAGGCGGUUUUUUAAGUCUGAUGUGAAAGCCCACGGCUCAACCGUGAAGGGUCAUUGGAAACUGGAAAACUUGAGUGCAGAAGAGGAAAGUGGAAUUCCAUGUGUAGCGGUGAAAUGCGCAGAGAUAUGGAGGAACACCAGUGGCGAAGGCGGGUCUCUGGGCAGUAACUGACGCUGAGGAGCGAAAGCAUGGGGAGCGAACAGGAUUAGAUACC